rnacentral:rRNA from 1 species
UACGUAGGGGGCAAGCGUUGUCCGGAAUCAUUGGGCGUAAAGCGCGUGUAGGCGGUUCGGUAAGUCGGCUGUGAAAGUCCAGGGCUCAACCCUGGGAUGCCGGUCGAUACUGCCGGACUAGAGUUCGGAAGAGGCGAGUGGAAUUCCGUGGUGUAGCGGUGAAAUGCGCAGAUAUCAGGAGGAACACCAAUUGCGAAGGCAGCUCGCUGGGACGUAACUGACGCUGAGACGCGAAAGCGUGGGGAGCAAACAGG